rnacentral:rRNA from 1 species
CCUACGGGAGGCAGCAGUGAGGAAUAUUGGUCAAUGGUCUGGAGACUGAACCAGCCAAGCCGCGUGAGGGAUGAAGGUACAGCGUAUCGUAAACCUCUUUUGUCAGGGAACAAAGUCGGGGACGUGUCCCCUGAUGAGUGUACCUUAAGAAAAAGCAUCGGCUAACUCCGUGCCAGCAGCCGCGGUAAUCCGGAGGAUCCGAGCGUUAUCCGGAUUUAUUGGGUUUAAAGGGUGCGCAGGCGGUUUGUUAAGUCAGCGGUCAAAGCCCGGGGCUCAACCCCUGCCUGCCGUUGAUACUGGCAGCCUCGAGUGGGGGUGAGGUAGGCGGAAUGCGCGGUGUAGCGGUGAAAUGCAUAGAUAUAGCGCAGAACUCCGAUUGCGAAGGCAGCAUGCCGGAUCGACACUGACGCUGAGGCACGAAAGCGUGGGUAUCGAACAGGAUUAGAUACCCGGGUAGUC